UUAGCUGGGCGUGGUGGUGCAUGCCUAUAAUCCCAGCUACUCGGGAGGCUGAGGCAGGAGAAUCGCUUAAACCCCGGGAGGCGGAGGUUGUGGCGAGCCAAGAUCGCGCGACUGCACUCCAGCCUGGACAAUAAAAGCGAAACUCCAUCUCAAAAGAAAAAAAAAAAAGUGAGCUAUCAAGCUACGAAAAGACAUAAAGCAAUCUUAAAUGCAUAUUGUUAAGUGAAAGAAGCCAAUCCGAAAAGCUACACGGGUAUGAUUCUAAGUACAUGACGUUCUAGAAAAGGCAAAACUAUGGCGGCAAUUAAAAAAAAACACUGGUUAACAGGAAUUUGGAGGAAAAGAUGAAUGAAUAAAUGGUGCAGUUUCAUUCUGUAUGAUACUAUAAUUGUGAACAUGUCAUUACACAUUUGUCCAAACCCAUAGAACGUACAACACCAAGAGUGAACCCUAAUGUAAACUAUGCACUUUGGGUGAUAAUGACGUGUCAAUGCAGGUUCAUCAGCUGUAAGAAAUAAACCACUGUGAGGCCGGGUGCGGUGACUCACGCUUGUAGUCCCAGCACUUUGGGAGGUCUAGGUGGGCGAAUCACGGGGUCAGGAGAUCGAGACCAUCCUGGCUAACAUGUCAGUCCACAAUGAAACUGCUACACACAGCACUAAAAACACAGCAAGUGAACAGAAUCACCCCGAAAAAGACAAAUCACAUGUAAUUCAAAGGAGGCUCCAAGUCAAUCAAGCAACCCAAGAAAAAAAAUCAGAGGAUACAGACCCAAAAGACAAGCGAGUAAAGCACGAGAACUUCCUGAUUUAGCUAUGCGG
rnacentral:lncRNA from 1 species